UUUUUAAAAGCAGUAUUUUGGUUUCUCCCACAGUAUUCUGAAAAGGAGGAUAAAUAUGAAGAAGAAAUUAAACUUCUGUCUGACAAACUGAAAGAGGCCGAGACCCGUGCUGAAUUUGCAGAGAGAACAGUUGCAAAACUGGAAAAAUCUAUUGAUGACCUGGAAG